rnacentral:rRNA from 1 species
UACGUAGGGCGCAAGCGUUGUCCGGAAUUAUUGGGCGUAAAGAGCUCGUAGGCGGCUUGUCACGUCGGAUGUGAAAGCCCGGGGCUUAACUCCGGGUCUGCAUUCGAUACGGGCAGACUAGAGUUCGGUAGGGGAGACUGGAAUUCCUGGUGUAGCGGUGAAAUGCGCAGAUAUCAGGAGGAACACCGGUGGCGAAGGCGGGUCUCUGGGCCGAUACUGACGCUGAGGAGCGAAAGCGUGGGGAGCAAACAGG